rnacentral:rRNA from 1 species
UACGUAGGGUGCAAGCGUUAAUCGGAAUUACUGGGCGUAAAGCGUGCGCAGGCGGUUGUGCAAGACAGAUGUGAAAUCCCCGGGCUUAACCUGGGAACUGCAUUUGUGACUGCACGGCUAGAGUGUGUCAGAGGGGGGUAGAAUUCCACGUGUAGCAGUGAAAUGCGUAGAUAUGUGGAGGAAUACCGAUGGCGAAGGCAGCCCCCUGGGAUAACACUGACGCUCAUGCACGAAAGCCGUGGGGAGCAAACACGG